rnacentral:rRNA from 1 species
UACGUAGGUGGCAAGCGUUGUCCGGAUUUAUUGGGUUUAAAGGGUGCGUAGGCGGCCCUGUAAGUCAGUGCUGAAAUAUCCCGGCUUAACCGGGAGGGUGGCAUUGAUACUGCGGGGCUAGAGUACAGAUGAGGUAGGCGGAAUUGACGGUGUAGCGGUGAAAUGCUUAGAUAUCGAGAGGAACACCUGCGGCGAAGGCGGGUUGCUGGGCCGACACUGACGCUGAUGCGCGAAAGCCAGGGGAGCGAACGGG